AACGAACGCUGGCGGCAUGCCUAACACAUGCAAGUCGAACGAGAUCUUCGGGUCUAGUGGCGCACGGGUGCGUAACGCGUGGGAAUCUGCCCUUUGGUUCGGAAUAACAGUUGGAAACGACUGCUAAUACCGGAUGAUGACGAAAGUCCAAAGAUUUAUCGCCAGAGGAUGAGCCCGCGUAGGAUUAGCUAGUUGGUGUGGUAAAGGCGCACCAAGGCGACGAUCCUUAGCUGGUCUGAGAGGAUGAUCAGCCACACUGGGACUGAGACACGGGCGAGACUCCUACGGGAGGCAGCAGUGGGGAAUAUUGGACAAUGGGCGAAAGCCUGAUCCAGCAAUGCCGCGUGAGUGAUGAAGGCCUUAGGGUUGUAAAGCUCUUUUACCCGGGAUGAUAGUGACAGUACCGGGAGAAUAAGCUCCGGCUAACUCCGUGCCAGCCGCCGCGGUAA
rnacentral:rRNA from 1 species